rnacentral:rRNA from 1 species
UACGUAGGGGGCCAGCGUUGUCCGGAUUUAUUGGGCGUAAAGAGCGUGUAGGCGGCCAGGUAGGUCCGCUGUGAAAGUCCGAGGCUCAACCUCGGAAUGUCGGCGGAAACCCUCUGGCUAGAGUCCGGAAGAGGAGAGUGGAAUUCCCGGUGUAGCGGUGAAAUGCGCAGAUAUCGGGAAGAACACCCGUGGCGAAGGCGGCUCUCUGGAACGGUACUGACGCUGAGACGCGAAAGCGUGGGGAGCGAACAGG